UCUCUUGUAGUGAAGAUGGGAAGGAAGAAAGGGAAGGAAGCGCCCACGGUGUUAAUGUUUACUUGUACUAGUACUAGUAUUACUCUCUUAGUAGUAGUUGUUUCUCUGAGCUUUCUCCCAAGCACCUUAGCACGUGAAAUACCUUGCCGACGUAUGUAUGGUUGUCGACCCAAUCCACCCCGCUACAGAUCACCACCCCCAUCUCUGCCUCCUCCUCCGCACAAUCCUUUAGUUCCUCCUCCGCCGGACCAUCCUUUACCUCCUCCCCCUCCCAAGUGCAGCUCAACAGGGGCACCUCCACUGGCACCGCCGCCCCCAGUUCCACCGCCACCCCCUCCUCCUUCCCCACCCUGCCCGACUACGCCACCGCCACCAUACAAGAAAGUUCCUACACCGCCCCCUCCUCAUCACUGCAGCAGCAGAUGCGUUCCUCAUGACUAUGAACGUCCAUGUCCACACGACCCCUCAUGCCGGAGAGAUGACUAUGGACGUCCAUGUCCACCCGACAACUCAUGCCGGAGAUGGCCUCCUGACUAUGACUAUCCACCAUAUUGACAUCAAAAACAAGGUGUUGAAGUCUUUAUCCGACUACUAAUGAUCUUAUAAUAUGGAGAAUAAGGUGAGCUCCUGGUCACUUUUAUCAAGUUGUACAAUGUUUAUAAAGAGAAUAAAUGAAUGAAGAAUACCAAAGAUCAAGGAAAGAAUAUCCUCGAUCAUGUCUUAUUUUGCAUCUGUUUGGAAUGGAAGAAAAUGUAUUGUAAGAUUAUACUGAAUUGCGUUUCAAUUUAAGUGUGAGAUUGAAAAUAUUUGUUGUCUAUUGUAGUUUCUUGAUAAAUUUUGUAGAGAUAACUUAAAUUUCUUUUGAA